rnacentral:rRNA from 1 species
AUAUGCCAUUGAGUGGGGGACAACAGUUGGAAACGACUGCUAAUACCGCAUAACGUCUACGGACCAAAGGGGGGGAUCUUCGGACCUCUCGCUCAUUGAUUAGCCCAAGUGAGAUUAGCUAGUUGGUAAGGUAAUGGCUUACCAAGGCGACGAUCUCUAGCUGGUUUGAGAGGAUGAUCAGCCACACUGGGACUGAGACACGGCCCAGACUCCUACGGGAGGCAGCAGUGGGGAAUAUUGCACAAUGGGCGAAAGCCUGAUGCAGCCAUGCCGCGUGUGUGAAGAAGGCCUUCGGGUUGUAAAGCACUUUCAGUAAGGAGGAAAGGGAUGUAGUUAAUAGCUGCAUUCUGUGACGUUACUUACAGAAGAAGCACCGGCUAACUUCGUGCCAGCAGCCGCGGUAAUACGAGGGGUGCAAGCGUUAAUCGGAAUUACUGGGCGUAAAGCGUUCGUAGGCGGUUAUUUAAGCAAGAUGUGAAAGCCCAGGGCUCAACCUUGGAACUGCAUUUUGAACUGGAUGGCUAGAGUACUGUAGAGGGUGGUGGAAUUUCCAGUGUAGCGGUGAAAUGCGUAGAGAUUGGAAGGAACAUCAGUGGCGAAGGCGGCCACCUGGACAGAUACUGACGCUGAGGAACGAAAGCGUGGGGAGCGAACAG